AUGCAGUUCGCGGCGCCGCCACAGCACAUGCGCUUCCACCUCUCCGCACCUGGGCGCCCGGCGCUGUUCAUCGACGUACAGUGGCGCUACAAGGUGACGCCUCCGCACCUCCCGCACCACCCACAGGGGGCGCUGCAGCUCUACGGGCAUCCUCCGGUGCCGCCAGUCGGCCAGGUAGGCAGCCCGUGUUGGGAUUGCCAGGCCCGGCCGGCGGAGCGGCCGUUUCCGUGCGGCCACGUCUUCCUCUGCCGCCCGUGCUACAAGCGCCGCAUCUCGUGUCCGUGCUGCGCCGGCUGGGUUCCCUCGCCUUUCUGA
rnacentral:rRNA from 1 species